rnacentral:rRNA from 1 species
AGGAUGAACGCUGGCGGCGUGCCUAACACAUGCAAGUCGAACGUCCUGUCUCGCAAGAGGCAGGGAGUGGCGAACGGGUGAGUACCACGUGGGUCAUCUACCGUGAGGUGAGGAAUACCGGCGAGAAAUCGCCGACAAGACCGCAUAGGCUCGAUGCAAGUCGAGCAAAGCUCUUUCGAGAGAGGGAGCGCCACACGAGGAGCCUGCGCCCGAUUAGCUAGCUGGUGGAGUAAUGGUUCACCAGGGCGACGAUCGGUAGCUGGUCUGAGAGGACGAUCAGCCACACUGGGAUUGAGAACGGCCCAGACUCCUACGGGGGGCAGCAGUGAGGAAUUUUCGCAAUGGGGGCAACCCUGAACGAGCAACGCCGCGUGCAGGAGAAGGUUUUCGGAUCGUAAACUGCUUUUCUCGGGGAAGAGAAUGGACGGUACCCGAGGAAUCAGCCCCGGCUAACUACGCGCCAGCAGCCGCGGU